rnacentral:lncRNA from 1 species
CUCUCUCGUGAUUACAUUCGGCCCACCUGGCUAAUCCAGGAUUAUCUCCCCAUCUCAAGAUACUUAAUCUCCUCUGCAAAGUCCCUUUUGCCAGGUAAGGUAACAUAGUCACAGGUUUUGCAGAUUAGGAUGUGGGCAUCUUUGUGGGGCCAUUAUUCCGCCUACUAGAAUAAUGAUGGUCGCUGUGUCUUCUUCAUUCUGUAUCCUCCAGACCCCCAGGGGAGAGAGAUGCCUUUCCCAGAACCACUGGACUCCAGAGACCAAGCUCCCAGGCAAAGACAGAACAGGACCACCCUGGCUGCUGGACCUCCCUGCCGUGCACUUCAAGUGGCAAUUGUGAGCCAACAGCUGUCCCCACCAAGUGGGAUCUCUGGGCCACAAAGAGCAACGGGGAGGGCAGGGCACACUGUCGCAUCGUCCCUGGGGCUGAGCAGCAGCAGCUGUGGGUCACUGGGGGCUCCUCCUGACUCCCAUCCCCUCCCAACACCAUGGCUAUCUAGCCCCCGGGCCCAUCCCUACUGGACCUGGAGCAGCUCUCCAACAGCACCUGAGCAGCAGGAGGCCCCUGCGCCCCAGCACCUUGUACCAGGGGCCCCUGGGAAUAAUAAACUUGUUUUUUUUUGGUUGGUUUUUCUUGAGGAAGAUCAGCCCUGAGCUAACAUCUGCCGCCAAUGUUCCUCUUUUUGCUGAGGAAGACUGGCCCUGAGCUAACAUCUGUGCCCAUCUUCCUCUACUUUCUAUGUGGGACGCCUGCCACAGCAUGGCUUGACAAGUGAUGCGUAGGGCUGUAUCUGGGAUCUGAACUGGUGAACCCCAGGUCGCAAAGUGGAAGGUGGUCACGAAGUGGAAGGUGCGAACUUAACUGCUGUGCCACAGGGCCAGCCGCAGGAAUAAUAAACUUGAAGAAAGAGUGCCUUUGUGGACCUGCGGGCAAGACAUCUGGGGCCUUGAGCACCAGGCCACACCCAUUCCUAGUGCCUCAUGGGACCCUCCUCCUGGGAAGGAUGACUCUAAUAAAACUCUUCCCCCGUGUCAGGGAUCCACGUGUACUUUUCACUUUUCGUCAGCUCCCAGGAGGUCACCCUCUGGGUCCCAUUUUACCAAUGCAGAAUCUGGGGCUGAGGGAUGGGACUGAAUGACUGGCCCAGGAUUAUGGGCUGGGGACCAGCAGAGCCAGGAUCUGAACCCUGGCCUGCCCGAUGCCACAGUCUGCACCCUUUCCAUGAACUCCGGGUGCCCAAG